AAAUUUUAAAGAUUACCUAAGACAGCAGGAGCUGAACAAAACAGCUUAAUAGUAUUCCUGCCGAGGCAAAUAAAAAUGACUUGAAUGAUAUCUAUAUAAAUUCAAGCACUUUUUGCCGCGGGUAAAAGGUGCUUUUUUAUUUG
rnacentral:sRNA from 1 species